rnacentral:rRNA from 1 species
AAGUAAAAGUCGUAACAAGGUNNCCGUAGGUGAACCUGCGGAAGGAUCAUUA